AUGGAUCCCCUGGCCCUGCUCCGGGACUACGCCGCCCGCCGCGACCUGGACAAGAUCAUCUUCAACAGCGACGACGUCCUCUUCGCGGACUACACCUUCCCGGCCAACCUCCCCACCGCCUUCGCCUCCAAGCAGUCCGGCCGCCCCUACCCGCUCUCCGCCGCCGUCUUCCUCGCCCAGCACAACGACCUCAAGCACACCGAGUUCCUCCCGGCCGCCCGCCUCCGCCGGAUCCCGCCCGUCUCCCUCCCGGACCGCAAGACCAUCCUCGAGGUGAGGGACAAGCCGGCCUCGCUCAAGCCCGACGACUGGGCGCGGGUGGUGGCCGUGUUUGUGCUCGGAAAGGAGAGGCAGUUCAAGGCGGCCAACAAUUUUUCUUUCGAACCUGAUGUGGCAGCGUGGCCGCGACGGCAAGGCGGCGGCGUCCUUGGCGCUCGUCCAUGGCGGCGGCGUCCACGACGCUGGUCCAUGGCAGUGGCGUCCACGAUGCUGGUCCAUGGCAGCGGCGUACAUGGUCGAUCCAGGAAACAGGGAGGAGUAGAGGGAGGGCUGGGCUCGUCGUCGACGCCGGCAGUCACGGCGCAGUCCGACCGUGUGGUGGCGGUUAGGAUCGGCCGUGGGUGGCGGCACACCUGCGUCCACCAUGAGAAAGGGGAUCGAGGAGGAAUUUCCGGUGAGAAACAAGGAUGA
rnacentral:rRNA from 1 species